GAAUCUAUGGAGAACUGAUCGCUACUCGCUCAGAGGUAAAAGGAUGCAGAUGGCUAGGAUUUCACCUUAUGUUAGGAAUUAAUAAUCCUGAGUUUGUUCGAGGCAGUAAACUGGAGUUGUUUGUUAGGAAUCAGAGGAGGUGAUUUCUAUUUUUAGCUGCAGGUUGGUAUGAUUACUCCAUUAUGCUUUAGAAUUUACUUUGCUAUUUUAUUUGGAAAAAAGGAAAAAGUUAUGAAAGCUUGAUUUGAGAAAGAAUUAGUUAUAUGCACUUCUCGACAAAAUGGCCUUUGCCACUGUGUGAUGUUUAUGCUGAACUAAGUUGUAUAUAGCAACUUAAAUUUGGUUCUUUAACUGUUUUUGAAA